rnacentral:rRNA from 1 species
GACGUAGGGCGCGAGCGUUGUCCGGAUUUAUUGGGCGUAAAGAGCUCGUAGGCGGCUUGUCGCGUCGUCCGUGAAAACCUGGGGCUCAACCCCAGGCUUGCGGUCGAUACGGGCAGGCUCGAGUUCGGUAGGGGAGACUGGAAUUCCUGGUGUAGCGGUGAAAUGCGCAGAUAUCAGGAGGAACACCGGUGGCGAAGGCGGGUCUCUGGGCAAUAACUGACGCUGAGGAGCGAAAGCGUGGGGAGCGAACAGG